rnacentral:lncRNA from 1 species
GAAAGGCCCGUUUAACAUAUAAUUCUCAAUUAUUUAUUUCAUUCUUUACUUCCCUUUUCUUCUCAUCUAAGUAUCCUUUCCAUUCUUUAAUUCCCACUUUCUUUUCUUUCCAUUAUGCCUCCACUUCACCUUACAGCUAAGCAUACCUCCGCAUCACCAAGAAGCUUAAAAGUGCCAGGCGUACCUCCGCAUCACCGCUUAGCUUUAAACGUGUCCUAGGAAUAACCUACACACCUUUGUUUAACUAAGCUCUUACAUUUUGCCAAAUUUGGAUAUAUCCUUUGGGUCUAAAUCAAGUUUUACACGUUUGGAUUAGAAUUAAAUCCGAUAGCC